rnacentral:lncRNA from 1 species
UUUGGAGUGGUACAACCUAAAAUAGAAAAUGGGACAUUUGAAGUGGGACGGAGGGAGUACUAUUAAAAUUUUUUUUCAUAUUUAUUUUUUAUUAUAAUUUUACUAAGGGUAAAGUAGUAUAUUUACACAAAAAGAUAUUAGAAUUAAUAUAUUUUUAUUUCUAUGGUUAAUAUUAAUGUUUUAUUAAGUAAAAUGGUUAAUUAGAGAUAUUAACAC